rnacentral:rRNA from 1 species
AUGUCCAGCACAUCCUUCCCUCUCCUCACGCGGACCAACUACCCCAGUUGGUCGGUCAUGAUGAAAGUCAUCAUGGAGGCGCGGCACAUGUGGAAAGCCGUGGAUACCGGCGAUGUCGAGUACGAGGAGGACCGGUUGGCGAUGGAGGCAAUCUUGUGCUCCGUCCCACCGGAGAUGGUGCUCACCGUUGGCGCCAAGGAGACGGCCAAGGAAGCAUGGGACAUCAUCAAGACUCUACGCAUCGGCGUGGAGCGCGUACGGGAGUCGAAGGCCUAGACCUUGCGCCUCCAGUACGAGGAGAUCCGGUUCAAAGCCGGUGAACAAGUCGACGACUUCGCCUUGCGGCUGCAAGGUCUCGUCAACAAGCUCGCAAUGCUCGGAGAUCACAUUGACAACAAGAUGGUGAUUCUCAUGUUCCUCCGUGUCGCCCCCAGGCAGUAUAAGCAACUGGCCUGGUCCAUUUAG